AACUCAGAAAUGACAUAGGUCCCCAUUUAUGUGUGAAGGUGGCAAAAGCCACUGGAAAGGGACGAGAAUCCAUAGGUGUACUAACUGAAGGCCACCUGGUCAGAUCUGUCAUUCUCUACCCCCAAAGGCUAUGACAUUGAGAAAGGAGCAACUGAGUCUUAUUCACUGAGUCCCCAGUGCCCAUCAAGGGACAUGGUACAUGGCAGAUGCCCAACAACUAUUUCUUGGAUGGACGGGGAAAUGUUUCCUAAUCACAACAGAAGAGAAGCAAGCAGCCAUUGUACCACUAACACAAAGCAAGCAACUCUGCUUCGACUUCUCCCACUUUUGGGAAAAGUCCACUUUUCAAGAAGGAGACUGGAAACAGGAAGUGGCCCAGGCUUGCCCUCGUCACCGCCAGUGACACCAACCAGGCGCUCAGUGCAGCAUCCAGCUUCCAGCCUCAGGAUGGCCCCGAGACAGAGGCUGGCUGCUCCGAUUUCAACCAGAGCCAUUUCUGAGGCUGGAAUGAUCAACUGGAAUAGUGAAAAAUGCAGUGCUGUUGGAAGCCAAGUUUUAAGGAGAAUUUUUGUUAUUGUUUGUUUCAACAGACAAACUUAUAUACAUGUAUCAUGUGGGCAAGGAGAUGGGAGGAAUGAAGCUAGGCAAAUUCAUUACCUUUUAAAAAGAAAUCUAGUUCUUCUUGAGGGACUCUCCCUUCUGCUUGUUCUAUCUUGAUGGUCAUAUUAAAAGAAAAGAGUAGCUUGUGCCUCUCAAACAGCCCUGGAGGGAAACAUCAGAUGAGUAUUGAUUUCUUAAAAUUCAUUUUUAAAAAACUGAGUUUCUUAUGCACACUGUGCUUAAACGUAAGAUAAAUGAAACACUCGAACUGUAUGGCUGCAUUUACCCCUCUUUGCACCUAAUGUCCAUGAAUAUCUAAGUUCAAGAGAGAUGAGCUCAGUUCCUAGGUCAUGCCCCAGUCUGUAGUGACAUGCUCCUGUAUGUAACGGAAAUGGCCAUGUCUACAGGAGGUAAAAUCACACCAACCUGGGAAGAGGAAAAGCCAGUGAGGGGCAGUACAGCAGGGGCAGCCCUCUCCACUGAAGGCAGGUUGUUUGCCUGACUCCAUGGCAUUUGUGUCCAUUAGAGUCUAGAAGAGGUGUUGGCAAACUUUCUACAAAGGGCCAGAUAGUAAAUAUUUUUGGCUUUGGAAGCUAGAUGGUCUCUGUCAUAACCACUCAACUCCGCCAUUGUAGUGCAAAAGCAACCAUAGACAAUAUGUAUACAAAUGGAUAUGGCCCUGUUCCAAUAAAACUUUAUUUACAAAAGCAGGCAGUGGGCCAGAUUUGGAUGCUGGCUAGGGGGUUGCCAACCUCUAUUGCAGAGGACACACACUCCAUCAACAGACUCUUUAUUAAUGGAUGCAAAAUACCAGCGUUCUUCUUUUUUGCUUUUUAACAGAAGACAUGUGUUCCUGGAAAAAAAAAUUGUUUAAGUCAAAAUUUGUAAUUUGAAUUCUACUUUAUAUGUGUUAGGAGGGUUGGCUACUUAAGUGAGCCCUAUAGAAACAAUCUCUUUUCUGCCCAACUGUUAAGGGCUAAAUUAUAUUUCUCCAAACUUCCUAUGUUGAAGCCCCAACUUCCAGUACCUGAGAAUAUGACAGUAUUUGGAGACAGGGUCUUUAAAUAGGUGAUUAAGUUCAAAUGAGGCCAUUAAGGUGGGCCCAGUCCAACCUCACUGGUGUCCUUAUAAGAGGAGGAAAUUUGGACACACAGAGACACCAGGGAUUCACACGCAGAGAAGAAAGACCUUGUGUGGACAGAGCAGGAAGACAGCCUCCUACAAGCCAAGGGGAGCAUCCUAAGGAGAAACGAAACCUACCAAAACCUUGAUUUUGGACUUCUGACCUCCAAAACUAUGAGAAAAUAAAUUUCUGUUGCUUAAGCCA